UUUAGAUCUAUGUAUAUAUAGCAUCAAAUGCAAUGUUUGAAUCACUGAGAGACAAUUAAUUCUGCCAACGUAAGGUUUUCACCUUCUAAGGUCUAACAAUGAAGGCAAUCAUUCUUCUAACCAUUUUGUUGGUGUCUUGUGCUGCCUAUGGGGAAGUUCAAGCUGAAGACACCAGAGCAUGGAAUGAAAAUAAUGCUGCAGACUUGGAACUAACUCAAAGCAAUGAAGUUGAGAAGCGUUUGGGACAAGUCUGUCCUCCCUUGCAAUAUCCAUGUACAGGAUGAAAACUUGCUUACAUUGUGCUCUUUUUAUUAGAUAUUCAAAUAUACUGGCUGAUAAUACCAAAACAUUAUCAACAGACAUUUUGAAAUACCUAAUAAAGUUUAUUUAACCAAAAGACAA